rnacentral:piRNA from 1 species
UGUGCCCUUAGAGAUAUGUCUGCUUC